UACGGAGGAUGCAAGCGUUAUCCGGAAUUACUGGGCGUAAAGCGUGCGCAGGCGGCUUUGCAAGACAGAUGUGAAAUCCCCGGGCUUAACCUGGGAACUGCAUUUGUGACUGCAAGGCUGGAGUGCGGCAGAGGGGGAUGGAAUUCCGCGUGUAGCAGUGAAAUGCGUAGAUAUGCGGAGGAACACCGAUGGCGAAGGCAAUCCCCUGGGCCUGCACUGACGCUCAUGCACGAAAGCGUGGGGAGCAAACAGG
rnacentral:rRNA from 1 species